AAGGCUGAGCUGUGAUGGGGAAGCUCCUUAUGGAGCGAAGUCUUUGAUUCCCCGCUGCCAAGAAAAGCUUCUAGCGAGAUAAAAGGUGCCUGUACCGCAAACCGACACAGGUAGGCGAGGAGAGAAUCCUAAGGUGUGCGAGAGAACUCUGGUUAAGGAACUCGGCAAAAUGACCCCGUAACUUCGGGAGAAGGGGUGCUUUCUUAACGGAAAGCCGCAGUGAAUAGGCCCAAGCGACUGUUUAGCAAAAACACAGCUCUCUGCGAAGCCGUAAGGCGAAGUAUAGGGGGUGACACCUGCCCGGUGCUGGAAGGUUAAGGAGAGGGGUUAGCGUAAGCGAAGCUCUGAACUGAAGCCCCAGUAAACGGCGGCCGUAACUAUAACGGUCCUAAGGUAGCGAAAUUCCUUGUCGGGUAAGUUCCGACCCGCACGAAAGGUGUAACGAUUUGGGCACUGUCUCAACCAGAGACUCGGUGAAAUUAUAGUACCUGUGAAGAUGCAGGUUACCCGCGACAGGACGGAAAGACCCCGUGGAGCUUUACUGUAGCCUGAUAUUGAAUUUUGGUACAGUUUGUACAGGAUAGGCGGGAGCCUUUGAAACCGGAGCGCUAGCUUCGGUGGAGGCGCUGGUGGGAUACCGCCCUGACUGUAUUGAAAUUCUAACCUACGGGUCUUAUCGACCCGGGAGACAGUGUCAGGUGGGCAGUUUGACUGGGGCGGUCGCCUCCUAAAGUGUAACGGAGGCGCCCAAAGGUUCCCUCAGAAUGGUUGGAAAUCAUUCGUAGAGUGCAAAGGCAUAAGGGAGCUUGACUGCGAGACCUACAAGUCGAGCAGGGACGAAAGUCGGGCUUAGUGAUCCGGUGGUUCCGCAUGGAAGGGCCAUCGCUCAACGGAUAAAAGCUACCCCGGGGAUAACAGGCUUAUCUCCCCCAAGAGUCCACAUCGACGGGGAGGUUUGGCACCUCGAUGUCGGCUCAUCGCAUCCUGGGGCUGUAGUCGGUCCCAAGGGUUGGGCUGUUCGCCCAUUAAAGCGGUACGCGAGCUGGGUUCAGAACGUCGUGAGACAGUUCGGUCCCUAUCCGUCGUGGGCGUAGGAAAUUUGAGAGGAGCUGUCCUUAGUACGAGAGGACCGGGAUGGACGCACCGCUGGUGUACCAGUUGUUCUGCCAAGGGCAUAGCUGGGUAGCUAUGUGCGGAAGGGAUAAGUGCUGAAAGCAUCUAAGCAUGAAGCCCCCCUCAAGAUGAGAUUUCCCAUAGCGUAAGCUAGUAAGAUCCCUGAAAGAUGAUCAGGUUGAUAGGUUCGAGGUGGAAGCAUGGUGACAUGUGGAGCUGACGAAUACUAAUAGAUCGAGGACUUAACCAUAUAA
rnacentral:rRNA from 2 species